UGUAGGAUUAAUGCUGAUGGAACUGCACUUAUCGUCUUCACACUUUAGGACCCUCUGCCUGCAGUCUCCUGGCCAUCUCCAAAGGAAGAAUCUGUGGAAAGAAUCCUGUGCCAGCAAUAACUAUGAGGACUGAAACUGCCCAAUCCUCCUGCAACAAGUUUGAAUAGAGGAAAACUCCCAAGCUACAUAUCAGGGGUAGUAUCAAAAACAGUUGGGUCAAUAAACAGAUGACUUCAUA